CCUACGGGAGGCUGCAGUGGGGAAUAUUGGACAAUGGGGGGAACCCUGAUCCAGCCAUGCCGCGUGUGUGAAGAAGGCCCUCGGGUUGUAAAGCACUUUCAGUGAGGAAGAACGCCUGGUGGUUAAUACCCAUCAGUAAAGACAUCACUCACAGAAGAAGCACCGGCUAACUCCGUGCCAGCAGCCGCGGUAAUACGGAGGGUGCGAGCGUUAAUCGGAAUUACUGGGCGUAAAGCGCGCGUAGGUGGCUUGAUAAGCCGGUUGUGAAAGCCCCGGGCUCAACCUGGGAACGGCAUCCGGAACUGUCAAGCUAGAGUGCAGGAGAGGAAGGUAGAAUUCCCGGUGUAGCGGUGAAAUGCGUAGAGAUCGGGAGGAAUACCAGUGGCGAAGGCGGCCUUCUGGACUGACACUGACACUGAGGUGCGAAAGCGUGGGUAGCAAACAGGAUUAGAUACCCGUGUAGUC
rnacentral:rRNA from 1 species